rnacentral:rRNA from 1 species
AUGAACGCUGGCGGCGUGCUUAAUACAUGCAAGUCGAACGAAGACAGUAGCAAUAUUGUCUGAGUGGCGAACGGGUGAGUAACGCGUUGGUGACCUGCCCCGAAGAGAGGGAUAACAGUCCGAAAGGAUUGCUAAUACCCCAUGUGGUCAUUUGGAUUAGAUGCCUUAUGACUAAACGGAUUUAUUCGCUUCGGGAGGGGCCUGCGUCCCAUCAGCUAGUUGGUAAGGUAAUGGCUUACCAAGGCGAUGACGGGUAGGGGACCUGAGAGGGUGGCCCCCCACAAUGGAACUGAAACACGGUCCAUACACCUACGGGUGGCAGCAGUAGGGAAUAUUGGUUAAUCUGGGAAACCGGGAACCAGCAACGCCGCGUGCACGAUGAAGGCCUUCGGGUUGUAAAGCACUUUUCGGGAGGAUGAGGAAGGACGGUACUCCCGGAAUAAGUCUCGGCUAACUACGU